rnacentral:tRNA from 1 species
UGGGGUAUAGCUCAGCAGUAGAGUGCAUGCCUAGCAUGUAUGAGUUCCUGGGUUCAAUCCUCAGUACCUCCA